rnacentral:rRNA from 1 species
GCGUUGUUCGGAAUUACUGGGCGUAAAGCGUACGUAGGCGGGUUGUAAGUUAGAGGUGAAAUCCCAGGGCUCAACCCUGGAACUGCCUUUAAUACUGGCAACCUGGAGUUCGAGAGAGGUGAGUGGAAUUCCGAGUGUAGAGGUGAAAUUCGUAGAUAUUCGGAGGAACACCAGUGGCGAAGGCGGCUCACUGGCUCGAUACUGACGCUGAGGUACGAAAGUGUGGGGAGCAAACAGGAUUAGAUACCCUGGUAGUCCACGCCGUAAACGAUGUCAACUAGCCGUUGGGACACUUGAUGUCUUAGUGGCGCAGCUAACGCGAUAAGUUGACCGCCUGGGGAGUACGGUCGCAAGAUUAAAACUCAAAUGAAUUGACGGGGGCCCGCACAAGCGGUGGAGCAUGUGGUUUAAUUCGAAGCAACGCGAAGAACCUUACCUACACUUGACAUCCAGAGAACUUUCUAGAGAUAGAUUGGUGCCUUCGGGAACUCUGAGACAGGUGCUGCAUGGCU